UACGGGGGGGGCAAGCGUUGUUCGGAAUUACUGGGCGUAAAGGGCUCGUAGGUGGCCAACUAAGUCAGACGUGAAAUCCCCAGGCUCAACUUGGGAACUGCGUCUGAUACUGGAUGGCUUGAAUUCGGGAGAGGGAUGCAGAAUUCCAGGUGUAGCGGUGAAAUGCGUAGAUAUCUGGAGGAAUACCGGUGGCGAAGGCGGCAUCCUGGACCGAGAUUGACACUGAGGCGCGAAAGCCAGGGGAGCAAACGGG
rnacentral:rRNA from 1 species